rnacentral:sRNA from 1 species
CUCAGAGAAGGCGUUAAUCUCCUUCUUACACUGCAAGACUGUUCGUGAACUUACCUUCCUGGUUGUUAAGGUUGUUAAGGAGAAUACGAAGCUGUCAAUUGAUUUUCAAUACCUUGGGACCUUAAAAAAUCAGAAAAGCUUUUUUCAACAUAUUCGCCUCCGCUAUCAGAACGAAUUUUCUUAGCGAUAUUAGCCUUAUUACAGUGAAUUCCGAAUAAUAAUCAAUAAUGGUGUCUACAUACGGUUUUCCUGAUAGUGUCACCGUUUGCAUCCACGAUCCACAGACAUCACUAUAAAUCAAAACCAAAGGCGCCAAUGAUUUAAUUUUCGGCUAAAUUGGAUUUGAACAUGUUUCUAAUAAUUGCCUCAGGAUCACGAUGUCCUAGUUUACGGUGCCAUUGAUGUAUACAAUUUUCGUUGUGUUGCAUUACCAAAUUUACACCCUCAGAUUGACGCAAAAUGUACACAUCACCAUCAAUAUCAGCCAAUCCUGUAUCUUUCAAGCCAAUAUUAAUGCAACAUCUGUUAUUCUUGAAUAGAACAUCGUAUCCAUCUUUAAUAAGGUUUCGCACAAAGACUAUGUUCCCAACCAGAGAAGGAGCAUAAAGCACUUCGUUUGCAUGUAGUACACCCAGAGAAAAGUUGAUACCAUACGGUAUUGAUAGUAAAGUAACACUGUAUGGUACAAAAACAAUACCAGAUGGUAUGGAUGAACCAUAGAAUGAUUGGUACCUCUUGGUAAAAGCCUUAUUACCGAACUGGUAUUGGUUUUAGUACCAAACCGUUAUUUAUUAUUCCACCCCAAACCAUUGAAAAUAAUUUUAAUCUAAUUUUAUUUUGAUUAUUUAUGUUAAUAAUGAUAAUGUAAUGUUAUACCAUGACCUACCUCAGUUCUAUGUAUUCAGCAAUUGAUUCCAUAUCCAUCGAUUCACAGAAGUGGAUUUCAUAUGAAUGCACCAACACAGCAUCGUUUUCCACACAAUGAACUAUCAUGGUUUUUAUGUAGA